UUGAAGUUUGACUACUUAAUUAUAAAAUAUAAGAACAAUAAUACAAAAUGUCAAAGAGUAACAGUUUAAAUAAAAGGAAAGGCGGAGCGCAAAAAUUGCGAGGCAAAAAAACAGCACAACUCAAAUAUAUAGGAAAUGAUUCUAAACAGAGUAAAAUAAAUUUUUUUAUUAAAUCAACUGCUUUAUCAAGCGUAAGUUUAAAAAUUGAAAUAAAUAAAAUUACUAUACAGCUUUUAUUGUUAUUAAUAAUUAAUUUCAUUGUUUGAUUUGUAUCAACAAAAAGAUGAUGACGUAAUGUCAACUAAACAAAAUGUUAAAGGAUCAUUUUUGUCAUUGCCUAAAAAAGAAAGUUCAUCAAUUUAAGACAUCGAUAAAUCUAUAUUCCCUGUAAAGAAAGAAAGUGCAUUGUUUAAUAAUUUAGAAUCAGAAUUUAUACAUUUUUUACUCAAAGCAACUCUGUUUUUGGCAAAACAAGGAUUACCUUUUAGUAGUCACAACGAGACGCAUACAUCAACAAAUAAGGGCAAUUUUAUUGAACUUUUACAAAUGUUUGGCAAUGAUAGACUCAAUCAUAAGAUACAGUACAGGUAUGGACAUUAUACUAGUCUUGAAUAUCAAAAUGAUUUAAUUGCAACUAUUGCAAAAUGCACAAGACAAAAAAUAUUAAGGAACAUUAAUAAAUUUGGAAUUUAUACAAUUAUGGUUGAUGAGACAAAAGAUAAAUUAAGAAAGAACAAAUGAGUUUUGUUAUAAGGUUUCUGGAUGACAAUUUUAAUAUAAAUGAAAAAUCCAUUGGCUGUUACCAUAUGAUUAAAUCUGAUUCUGAAAGCUUAUUUAAUCAAAUAAUUAAAGUAAUUUCAGAAAAUAAUUUAGAUAUAAACAAAUGUGUAGCACAAUGUUAUGACGGUGCAUCAGUUAUGAGCGGAAUGUAUAUAGGUGUUCAAGAACGAAUACGCAGUAAAGUAUCACACGCAUUGUAUGUCCACUGCUAUGCGCACCGUCUUAAUUUAUGUUUAAUUCAAAUAUUGCAAAAUGUACCAUUUAUUGUCAAUUUUUUUAAUACAGUGCAAGAAAUUUACAAGUUUUUGAUGAAUGGACAAACAAGAUAUGAAUUAUUUAUUGAGGCUCAAAAAGAUCACAAUUUACCAGUGUUACACUUAGAACGUUUAGUAGGCACUAGGUGGGCUUACUGGUAUAGGUCAAUAAGUAAAAUUAAUUUAAGAUAUACAGAAAUUAUUGAAGUACUUUCUAUACUUAUUAAAGAAGGUGAUCAAACAGCUAGGGCAACCGGAAUUUUAAAUGAAAUAUCUAAAUUUUCUUUUAUUAUUAUGAUGUUUGGGAUGAAAUCUCUACUUAAGGUUACACAUUGUGCUUCUACAGAACUGCAAAAUUCAAAUAUUAUUUUAUCAGCAGCUAUUGAUUAGAUAAAAUGUACUAGACAAAGUUUAAGUGAAAUGCGGAGCGACACAUUUGGAGUGAAACAAUAAGCAAUUGAUUGAUACUAAAAAUGGAAUUCCUAUUAAUCAAAGUUCAAACAGAAAGUGUUGUUUGAAUAAAAAGCUUAAAGACUUCUUUAUUGAAUCAUCAGUAGGGAAUACUUCAAAUAGCACUCUGAAUAAUUCUACAAAUGAAUUAAAAGCAUUAUUUUAUUCAGCAAUUGAUAGAUUUAUUAAUGAACUUGAUAAUUGUUUUAAUGACACAAAUAACAAUAUUCUCUUAACCUGUACUUUAUUUAUUUCUUCAAAUCCUGAUUACUUUAACUUCAAAAGUUCCUAUCUUCAAGCUUUUUUGAAUCACUAUAGUUACUUCAAAAUUAAUCCUAUAUUAUUUGAAUUUCUGAAUUUUCUGAAAAUCUGAAUUUCUUAUUGCCAAAAACCUACUUUCUAAAAACAAAAGUAAUAGCCGUGAAGAUGGCGUUCAUGAUCUUUCUUCCAUAUCAAAAAAUUUCUUGGAAAUUAAAAACUCUUUUCCAGAGACACUAAAAAUUAUUUCUAUUCUCAUGACUACCUGUAUCAACUGCAUCAAAUGAACGCUUUUUUUCAUCUUUAAAACGCAUAAAAAAUUUUUUACAACUGACAAUAACUGAUGAACGCUUGAGUGAUUUGCUAGUGAUUGCUGUUGAAGGUGAUGAAGCUUCAAAAGUUGAUCUACAGAAAGCUAUUGAUAUAUUCGCAAGCAUGAAAUCUCGAAGAUAGCUUAAUAGAUAGAUUAAGAGCUUAAUAGUUUAUACUUAUUUUUGUUUUUGUAUUUAGUGUAUAUCAUGUUAUGAA